CUCACUUUGUAGUUCGAAGGUGUGAAUGAUUUUGAUAGUGAUGAUGAACUGCAAUGGCUAAUUGAGAUACAGAAGGUGCUGGAAAUUUCAUACGUGCGUGCUAAACUAGGGAAAUUAUUCUGUAGGAAAGUGUCGAGCUGCAGGAGUUUUCAUUGGGUUCAUGCCCUCCUAGUGUGGGUCUUCAAGGGAUGCGUUGGUCAACUAUGUUGAUCAGUAUUCAGGUGGUUGCACGAAAUGGCUAAAAUCCACAUCCCCAUCAUCUUAUUGGGGCUCUGCCUAGUAUGCAAUUCGGCAGGUUUUGAUUCAGACACAAAUGAAAUGAGCAUUUUCUUGCUUCUAUUUACACCAAUCCUGGAUGGAAAAGUACUUUUGUAUUCAUUUGUAUCCUGAAUGACCUGGUGUUUCUUCUUGGCUGGUGUGUUUCUACUACAUUU